GAUGAACGCUGGCGGCGUGCUUAAUACAUGCAAGUCGAGCGAACAGACGUGGUGCUUGCUCCUCUGACGUUAGCGGCGGACGGGUGAGUACCAUGUGGAUAACCUACCUAUAAGAAUGGGAUAACUUAGGGAACGCGGAGCUAAUACCGGAUAAUAUAUUCAUCCGCAUGGUUCACUAGUGUAAGAUGGUUUUGCUGUUACUUAUAGAUGGAUCCGCGCCGCAUUAGCUUGUCGGUAAGGUAACGGCUUACCAAGGCAAUGGUGCGUAUCCCACCCGAGAGGGGGAUCGGCCACGCUGGGAGUGAGACACGAUCCAGACUCCUACGGGGAGCAGCAGUAGGGUAGCUUCCGCGAUGGGCGAAAGCUAGACGCAGCAACGCCGCGGAGCUGAUGAAGGCCUUCGGAUCGUAAAACUCUGUGAUUAGGGAAGAACAAAUGUGUAAGUAACUGAGCACGUCUUGACGGUACCUAAGCAAAAAGCCACGGCUAACUACGUG
rnacentral:rRNA from 1 species